GACGCCCCAUCCCGCGGCCCGCCAAGCGAGGAGGAAACCGACGGUCCGAGAGGGCGUGUGGACGAGGUCUCACGGCCACCGAGUCGCAGAGCUCUGUUCGAACCAGGAAUUAACACUGCUAGACUUGGACUAGAGUGAUUCAAGAUCACAUAUGAUACAGUUCCUCUUGGGUUGAUCAGCUUCUCCACAAGAAUCCUUCAGUCUCCUCCAAAGAAUGAACAUAAACUUAGUUGCCAGAUUUCAGGAAGCCAAGAGGUAAGAGUUUCCGUUGGAAAAGGGACAGG